rnacentral:rRNA from 1 species
GACGAACGCUGGCGGCGUGCCUAAUACAUGCAAGUAGAACGCUGAAGAGAGGAGCUUGCUCUUCUUGGAUGAGUUGCGGACGGGUGAGUAACGCGUAGGUAACCUGCCUUGUAGCGGGGGAUAACUAUUGGAAACGAUAGCUAAUACCGCAUAACAAUGGAUGACACAUGUCAUUUAUUUGAAAGGGGCAAUUGCUCCACUACAAGAUGGACCUGCGUUGUCUUAGCUAGUAGGUGAGGUAACGGCUGACCUAGGCGACGAUACAUAGCCGACCUGAGAGGGUGAUCGGCCACACUGGGACUGAGACACGGCCCAGACUCCUACGGGAGGCAGCAGUAGGGAAUCUUCGGCAAUGGGGGCAAACCUGACCGAGCAACGCCGCGUGAGUGAAGAAGGUGUUCGGAUCGUAAAGCUCUGUUGUAAGUCAAGAACGAGUGUGUAAGUGGAGAGUGCGCACUGUAACGGUAGCUUGCCAGAAAGGGACGGCUAACACCGU